rnacentral:rRNA from 1 species
AUACAUGCGUAUGUAGCCCUGACCUUCGGGAACGGGCGUUUUUGUUAGACCAAAACCAAUCAGGGAGCAAUCUCUGGCAAUUUGGUGAGUCUGAACAACCUUGAGCGGAUCGCACGGUCUUGUACUGGCGACAACUCUUUCAAAUGUCUGCCUUAUCAACUUGAUGGUAGGUUAUGUGCCUACCAUGGUGAUAACGGGUAACGGAGAAUCAGGGUUCGAUGCCGGAGAGGGAGCCUGAGAAACGGCUACCACAUCCAAGGAAGGCAGCAGGCACGCAAAUUACCCACUCCCGGCACGGGGAGGUAGUGACGAAAAAUAACAAUACGGGACUCAUCCGAGGCCCCGUAAUUGGAAUGAGUACACUUCAAAUCCUUUAACGAGGAUCCAUU